AGCAGCCGCGGUAAUUCCAGCUCCAAUAGCGUAUAUUAAAGUUGCUGCAGUUAAAAAGCUCGUAGUUGAAUUUCGGGACCAAUAUGUCGGUCGUGCCUCGGUACGUACUGGCAUCGUUGGUUUCUCCUUUCUGAAGAACCAUGAUGUCAUUUAUUUGGUGUCGUGGGGAAUCAGGACUGUUACUUUGAAAAAUUAGAGUGUUUAAAGCAGGCUCACGCUUGAAUACAUUAGCAUGGAAUAAUGAAAUAGGACGUUUGAUUCUAUUUUGUUGGUUUCUAGGAUCGACGUAAUGAUUAAUAGGGAUAGUUGGGGGCAUUAGUAUUCAAUUGUCAGAGGUGAAAUUCUUGGAUUUAUUGAAGACUAACUACUGCGAAAGCAUUUGCCAAGGAUGUUUUCAUUAAUCAAGAACGAAAGUUAGGGGAUCGAAGACGAUCAGAUACCGUCGUAGUCUUAACCAUAAGCUAUGCC
rnacentral:misc_RNA from 1 species